AUUCCCUGGCAGGAGAUUUAGAAUCCCUGUACGUGAGCCGCACGAGCUUGCUGAACGUGAGCGCCCAUGAACGAACAGACGACUCGAUGCCUGUACCUGUCGAUGCGGAGUACGAGUCAUCCGGGGACGAGAGCGAAGUUGAACAGGAUCCCACGCCUGGCAUCAGUCAAGAAGAUCCAUCAAAGGCUUAAGAUUUGGAUGAUUUACUGACCAAAGUGAAAGAAAAGAGCGUUAUGGAUUCUUCAGACGAGACACAACAUACAGGAUAAAUAAAUGUUUUGUAUCUGAUUGCCGUAAUAGUUCGUGAGAAUUUAGUGUGGUGUCAUAAGGAUACUUUUUUUUGAGGGGGGUGGGGUUGAAGGAGUGGUUCAUUUACUUGAGUAAACAAGACUAGAAAGGAAACAAAAUUUCUUUUAUAAUGUCAGAUUAUUGUCCGUGCUACAAGCUUUGACAUAUUAUUGAUUAUCAUUAAGUUAUCCAUAGAAUGAUAUGUCCUUUUUAUUAUCUUUUUUUCUCACAACUGCAGUGUAAGUGCAGCUUCCGGAAUGUAGAAUUUUUCAUGAAGUGAAAAAAAUAUAACCAGAAAAUAUUGGGUCAAAAUGUGAUGAACAUGAACAUGGAAUGUCCAGUCUAUAUUUAUUUUGCAUGUGUAUGAAAAAUAUGAGGAAAUAAACCUUUGCCAAAAAAUUAUA